rnacentral:rRNA from 1 species
GACGAACGCUGGCGGCGUGCUUAACACAUGCAAGUCGAACGGAAAGGCCCUGCUUUUGUGGGGUGCUCGAGUGGCGAACGGGUGAGUAACACGUGAGUAACCUGCCCUUGACUUUGGGAUAACUUCAGGAAACUGGGGCUAAUACCGGAUAGGAGCUCCUGCUGCAUGGUGGGGGUUGGAAAGUUUCGGCGGUUGGGGAUGGACUCGCGGCUUAUCAGCUUGUUGGUGGGGUAGUGGCUUACCAAGGCUUUGACGGGUAGCCGGCCUGAGAGGGUUACCGGCCACAAUGGGACUGAGAUACGGACCAGACUCCUACGGGAGGCAGCAGUGGGGAAUAUUGCACAAUGGGCGGAAGCCUGAUGCAACAACGCCGCGUUCGGGAUGACGGCCUUCGGGUUGUAAACCGCUUUCGCCUGUGACGAAGCGUGAGUGACGGUAAUGGGUAAAGAAGCACCGGCUAACUACGUG